rnacentral:rRNA from 1 species
GAUGAACGCUGGCGGCGUGCCUAAUACAUGCAAGUCGAGCGAACGGACGAGAAGCUUGCUUCUCUGAUGUUAGCGGCGGACGGGUGAGUAACACGUGGAUAACCUACCUAUAAGACUGGGAUAACUUCGGGAAACCGGAGCUAAUACCGGAUAAUAUUUUGAACCGCAUGGUUCAAAAGUGAAAGACGGUCUUGCUGUCACUUAUAGAUGGAUCCGCGCUGCAUUAGCUAGUUGGUAAGGUAACGGCUUACCAAGGCAACGAUGCAUAGCCGACCUGAGAGGGUGAUCGGCCACACUGGAACUGAGACACGGUCCAGACUCCUACGGGAGGCAGCAGUAGGGAAUCUUCCGCAAUGGGCGAAAGCCUGACGGAGCAACGCCGCGUGAGUGAUGAAGGUCUUCGGAUCGUAAAACUCUGUUAUUAGGGAAGCACAUAUGUGUAAGUAACUGUGCACAUCUUGACGGUACCUAAUCAGAAAGCCACGGCUAACUACGUG